GGGGGAAAAUUUAAUAAAUAAGAAUAUUAAUAAAAAAAUUUUUAAUUAAAAUAUGGAAAUGGGGGUUGAAGUAUUUAUAAUGAAAAAAUUAAAAAAUUUAUAGUUAAAUAGUAUUGCAAAAGAAUAUUGAAAUAAACGAAAAUAAAUUUUUAAAAAAGUAAAAUUAACUUUUUGUAUCCUGUGUAUCACAGUUUAUUAAAAAAAUUUUAAUAAAAUUAAAAUUCUCCACUUUAAAAGGGAAAAUUAAUUAAUAAAGUUAUUGUAGCAAAAAUAUUUUUAAUAAUUAAUUUGAAAUGAAAUGUUAAUCGUUUUUAAAUAUAUCUAGUUUUUUUAGAAAAAAAUUUAAUUUUAAAUUUAAUUUUUUUUAUUUUAAUAAUUAAAAUUAUUAAAAUAAAAUUUAAAUUUUAUAAUUUAAGGGAUAAGCUUUAAAUUAAAAUUUUAUAAUAAAAAAUAAAAGAAAAAAUUUUUAGGAUUUAUAUUGUCAAAAAAUUAUAUUUUAUUAUAAAAAAUUUUUGAAAAAUAAAAAUUUUAUUUUAUUUAAAUUUUUAUGAAAAAAUAAAUUUUAAAAAUAAAUAUUUAAAAAUAAUGAUAAAAUUAGUAUAUAAAAAUUAAUAAAAUUAAUUAGUUAAAAAGUUAAAAAAAGGAAUUCGGCAAAAAAUUAUAUUCACUUGUUUAUCAAAAACAUGUCUUUUUGAAAAUAAUUUAAAGUCUAAUCUGCCCACUAAUUUAUUAAAGGGCUGCAGUAUUUUGACUGUACAAAGGUAGCAUAAUCAAUAGUCUUUUAAUUGAAGACUGGAAUGAAUGAUUGGAUGAAAUAUAAACUGUCUCUUUUUAAAAAAUAGAAUUUAAUUUUUUUAUUAAAAAGUAAAAAUUUAUUUAAAAGACGAGAAGACCCUAUAGAGUUUUAUUAUUUAUUUUAUAAAAAUUUAUUUAUAAAUAAUUAUUAUUUAAAUAAAAUAAAUUAUUUAAUUGGGGUGAUAAAAAAAUUAAUAAAACUUUUUUUUAAAAAAAAACAUUAAUAAAUGAAUAAAGGAUCCAUAAUUUAUGAUUAUAAGAAAAAAUUACCUUAGGGAUAACAGCGUAAUUUUUUUUUUUAGUUCUUAUAAAAAAGAAAGUUUGCGACCUCGAUGUUGGAUUAAGAUAAAAAUUAAACGCAAAAGUUUAAAAUUUUGAUCUGUUCGAUCAUUAAAAUCUUACAUGAUCUGAGUUCAGACCGGUGUGAGCCAGGUUGGUUUCUAUCUUUAAAAAAUUAAAAUAUUUUAGUACGAAAGGAUUAAAUAUUAAAAAUAAUUUUAAAAAUAAAAGAAUUUUAAUAAAAUAAUUUA
rnacentral:rRNA from 1 species